rnacentral:rRNA from 1 species
GGGUCAGUAGGUUGGUCGUGCCACCGGUACGUACUGGUCUCACUGAUUCCUCCUUCCUGAAGAACCGUAAUGCCAUUAAUUUGGUGUUGCGGGGAAACAGGACUGUUCCUUUGAAAAAAUUAGAGUGUUUAAAGCAAGCUAACGCUGGAAUUCAUUAGCAUGGAAUAAUGAAAUAGGACGAUCGAUCCUAUUUUGUUGGUUUCUAGGAUUGACGUA